GCUCACCUAGGCGACGAUCCCUAGNUGGUCUGAGAGGAUGACCAGCCACACUGGAACUGAGACACGGUCCAGACUCCUACGGGAGGCAGCAGUGGGGAAUAUUGCACAAUGGGCGCAAGCCUGAUGCAGCCAUGCCGCGUGUGUGAAGAAGGCCUUCGGGUUGUAAAGCACUUUCAGCGAGGAGGAAGGGUUCGGUGUUAAUAGCACNGUUCAUUGACGUUACUCGCAGAAGAAGCACCGGCUAACUCCGUGCCAGCAGCCGCGGUAAUACGGAGGGUGCAAGCGUUAAUCGGAAUUACUGGGCGUAAAGCGCACGCAGGCGGUUUGUUAAGUCAGAUGUGAAAUCCCCGAGCUUAACUUGGGAACUGCAUUUGAAACUGGCAAGCUAGAGUCUUGUAGAGGGGGGUAGAAUUCCAGGUGUAGCGGUGAAAUGCGUAAAGAUCUGGAGGAAUACCGGUGGCGAAGGCGGCCCCCUGGACAAAGACUGACGCUCANGUGCGAAAAGCGUGGGGGAGCAAACAGGAUUAGAUACCC
rnacentral:rRNA from 1 species